rnacentral:rRNA from 1 species
UACUCCUACGGGAGGCAGCAGUGGGGAAUAUUGGACAAUGGGCGCAAGCCUGAUCCAGCCAUACCGCGUGGGUGAAGAAGGCCUUCGGGUUGUAAAGCCCUUUUGUUGGGAAAGAAAUCCAGCUGGUUAAUACCCGGUUGGGAUGACGGUACCCAAAGAAUAAGCACCGGCUAACUUCGUGCCAGCAGCCGCGGUAAUACGAAGGGUGCAAGCGUUACUCGGAAUUACUGGGCGUAAAGCGUGCGUAGGUGGUCGUUUAAGUCCGUUGUGAAAGCCCUGGGCUCAACCUGGGAACUGCAGUGGAUACUGGACGACUAGAGUGUGGUAGAGGGUAGCGGAAUUCCUGGUGUAGCAGUGAAAUGCGUAGAGAUCAGGAGGAACAUCCAUGGCGAAGGCAGCUACCUGGACCAACACUGACACUGAGGCACGAAAGCGUGGGGAGCAAACAGGAUUAGAUACCCUGGUAGUCCACGCCCUAAACGAUGCGAACUGGAUGUUGGGUGCAAUUUGGCACGCAGUAUCGAAGCUAACGCGUUAAGUUCGCCGCCUGGGGAGUACGGUCGCAAGACUGAAACUCAAAGGAAUUGACGGA